rnacentral:rRNA from 1 species
AUUGAACGCUGGCGGCAGGCCUAACACAUGCAAGUCGAACGAGCGGCGGACGGGUGAGUAAUGUAUGGGAAACUGCCCGAUGGAGGGGGAUAACUACUGGAAACGGUAGCUAAUACCGCAUACUAUCAGAUGAACCCAGAUGGGAUUAGCUAGUAGGUGGGGUAAUGGCUCACCUAGGCGACGAUCCCUAGCUGGUCUGAGAGGAUGAUCAGCCACACUGGAACUGAGACACGGUCCAGACUCCUACGGGAGGCAGCAGUGGGGAAUAGUGCACAAUGGGCGCAAGCCUGAUGCAGCCAUGCCGCGUGUAUGAAGAAGGCCUUAGGGUUGUAAAGUACUUUCAGCGGGGAGGCGUUACCGACAGAAGAAGCACCGGCUAACUCCGUGCCAGCCGCCGCGGUAAUAC